GGUCCUGCGGGCCUGGGGGAAGCGGGCGGGACGAGCACCCGGAGAGCUGGCGGCCUGCGGGGCUGCCUCGCCGCUGGGCUGGCUCAGGGCUGCAGAGCAACCAAGAGAAAACUUCAGCUCAGGCUGGGUUACUCCUCAUGGCUUCACCAGAGCUGACUGACUAAAUGCGAUCAGAGAGACAAGUGGAAACUCCACAAAUUAACAAGACAGUUUUGCACCAGUUCAGAGAACCUGCAAUUUCUAUUGAUGUAGUAGCUAAAACAUGAGGGAUCUGAAUCUUCUGCUGCAGGAUACAAAAACAUUAACAAGCCUGAGAAACUGACUCUUAGCUGAAUAGAAUCUUGGCAUGUGCAGGAGAAGAAUCUCCCUGAAGGACAAAUGGAAUUUUACAGUGAAAGAACAACAUUCAGUGGCACCUUGAACUCAGAGAGACAGUACAUAUAACCAGUUUCUACGAAGCACACUGGGGCUCAAUCCUGCAGCCUUUGCUUAUGUGAUUAUGCAGAAGAAAAUCAGAGAGGUGUCCACAGAUUGGUUAUAAUCUGAAUGUGCAACACAAAAAGUUCAGCUGGCAGAAAAGGAGAGAACAAUAGAAGAGCUGGUAUCACAUUUGGAGGUCUUCACCAGUGAGAAGUUAAACCUCCUACUGGCUUGCCAGCCCUCGAACUCCAUUGUGGUCAUCCAUCCACACAACUACAAAUGUUUGAGAAAUCGCAUCCUGCGCAUGCAUUGAUGAAUGGUCCCUUUCUUCCAGAACAUGCCCAUGUUUCUGCUGGGUCAUGUGCAGCAGGCAGCUUCAGGUCUGAGAUGCAUCCUACUAUCUGUCACCAGCUUUCUGUGGUGGGGCACUUCAGCCAGUACAGCUAAUCAUUUGUGCAGGCUGAGAGGUCCAACCAUACAGAGGGCACUGCAGAUGGGUACAUCUAGAGGAAAGGAGGAGCCUGCUGUUCAGUUCCUGACUCGGGUCCUGACUUGCUAUGUGAUCUUUAGGCAAGUCCUUUAGGACAAGCCUUUCAAGUUUGGGUGCUUAACCAUAAGUGCCUAAAUCAGAGGUUUGAUUUCCAAAGGUACUGAGCCCCUGCGACUCCUAUUGAUUUCUGUGUGUUAUUCAUGAGAUGAAGAAUUGCUGCCAUCAGCAAUAAGGAUUUUCAGGAUCAGGCCCCUAUCUUUUAUAAUUUAAAAGUAAAGGGAAUGGGCUGAAUUCUGUCCUGGCUUACAGACCUGUGCCACUUCACUGACUUCAGCAAUGUAUCCAGUCAGGGCUGAAUUUGGCCCUGUAAUUGUUAAACAUCUCUGCUGGCAUUUCUGGAGACUCUGACAUUCCAGUGGGCACGGUCAGUGCCAGAUGUGUAGAGCCAGGUAGAUUGGGCUUGGGAGAGUGCCCCUCAUCUAGCUAUGUCUACCCUGUCACAUCUGAGGUGCUGCUCUCUUUGGCUGCUGGCAGAAACUGCACUGGGCUUCACUGCUGUUGUUGGAGCCUGAUCUGCCCCCUGGACAGUUGAGAGAGAUGGAUUUUACUUCUUUCUUUCUCAGGCCCUGAAAAGAUGAUUGUAUUCUUCCAUAUGCAUCCAGCUCUUGGAUUUUAUGGUGGACAUAUCAAUUCAGUAAUUGUUGAUCUCUGACCGUGUGUUGCUUUUACUGUUGAAGGUAUCCUCAUAGGUUACUCUUAGAAGAGGCUGCUAUUUUGUGAUCCUCUGCUUCAGGGGCACCCCCCAGAAAUUUUACCCAUGGUACGCACCAUCAAUCCCUGGGGAGCUGUUCCCGCUGCAGCCUGUGGCCCCAGCAUCUGCACCGUGCUCAGCCCUUCCCUUCCAGCAGUGUCA